UUUUUGCCCAUGCCCCAUCAUCUGCCGCGAUCCUGGACAAGUUGGCGAUCAACAACAGGAUCCGGCCUGCGUGCAAUGGCCAGUGAAGUCUAUCCCAGUGCCUGUAUUAUUAUCAAGUCAUCACGCUGUCGUCGUCGGACUCGUCGGUUACAAAUGACGCGGCAGAUCUCUCUUAAGCUUAGAAAGAUGGUUGUGGCGCAGUGCUCUGCUACUUCGUGCCACAGGCCAUUCUCCAACUGCAGAUCUACGUGUCAGCGCGACAGUGCACUCACUCACCUUGUUUGGCCCGGUGGAAUUUGGUAUGUCACUUGAGGCGAGGAGGACUUGAGAAGGUGCGUCUGUGAACGGCCUUAGUGACGCCUCUUCAGCGCGACGGGUGGUCUCCUCAAAUAUGAGAAGGAGCUCGGGUCCUGCGGGCUCUUAACCGUCGUAGUAUUCACGCAGUGUUUUAAAAUAGUGUUUGUGUGUAUUAUGAUAACAUUUAUGUUCAAUUCAAAUGUCUAACUCUACAUAAGUAUUCAUAUCAUUUUUCAUUAGUAUGGUGCUGUUUUUGCGGUCUGAAGAAAAAACUUUAAAUAAAAUAAUUAUGUUGUCUGUA